rnacentral:rRNA from 1 species
UUCCGGUUGAUCCUGCCGGACCCGACUGCUAUUUGGGUGAGGAUAAACCAUGCGAGUUGUAUGGGAUACCUAAAUUUCCCAUAGCAAACUGCUUAGUAACACAUGAUCAACUUGCCCUAUGGAGAAAUAUAACCUCGGGAAACUGAGGAUAAUGAUUCAUAGUUGAAUAGGCUUGGAAAAGUUUUUCAAUGAAAGGGAUAAGAAAAAUGGUUCUUAUCUGCCUUAGGAUAGGAUCGUGCUCGAUUAUGGUUGUUGGUGAGGUAACGGCUCACCAAGCCGAUAAUCGAUAGGGGCCGUGAGAGCGGGAGCCCCAAGAUGGGUACUGAGACAGCGACCCAGGCCUUACGAGGCGCAGCAGGUACGAAACCUCCGCAAUACACGAAAGUGUGACGGGGUUACCCAAAGUGUUCUUAUUGAACUGUGGCAGGUGAGUAAUGUCCCCUGCUAGAAAGGAGAGGGCAAGGCUGGUGCCAGCCGCCGCGGUAAAACCAGCUCUUCAAGUGGUCGGGAUAAUUAUUGGGCUUAAAGUGUCCGUAGCCGGUUUAGUAAGUUCCUGGUAAAAUCAGGUAGCUUAACUAUCUGUAUGCUAGGAAUACUGCUAUACUAGAGGGCGGGAGAGGUCUGAGGUACUACAGGGGUAGGGGUGAAAUCUUAUAAUCCUUGUAGGACCACCAGUGGCGAAGGCGUCAGACUGGAACGCGCCUGACGGUGAGGGACGAAAGCCAGGGGAGCGAACCGGAUUAGAUACCCGGGUAGUCCUGGCCGUAAACGAUGCAUACUAGGUGAUGAUACGGCCAUGAGCCGUGUCAGUGCCGUAGGGAAACCGUUAAGUGUGCCGCCUGGGAAGUACGGUCGCAAGGCUAAAACUUAAAGGAAUUGGCGGGGGAACACCACAAGGGGUGAAGCCUGCGGUUCAAUUGGAGUCAACGCCGGGAAUCACUAGUGCGGCC